AACGAACGCUGGCGGCAGGCCUAACACAUGCAAGUCGAACGCCCUAGCAAUAGGGAGUGGCGCACGGGUGAGUAACGCGUGGGAACGUGCCUUUCAGUCUGGAAUAACUGCGGGAAACUGCAGCUAAUACCGGAUAUUCUCUACGGAGGAAAGAUUUAUCGCUGAAAGAUCGGCCCGCGUUAGAUUAGGUAGUUGGUGGGGUAAUGGCCUACCAAGCCUACGAUCUAUAGCUGGUCUGUGAGGAUGAUCAGCCACACUGGAACUGAGACACGGUCCAGACUCCUACAGGAGGCAGCAGUGGGGAAUAUUGGACAAUGGGCGCAAGCCUGAUCCAGCCAUGCCGCGUGAGUGACGAAGGCCUUAGGGCUGUAAAGCUCUUUUGUCAGGGAAGAUAAUGACGGUACCUGAAGAAUAAGACACGGCUAACUUCGUGCCAGCCGCCGCGGUAA
rnacentral:rRNA from 1 species